rnacentral:misc_RNA from 1 species
AACGCACCUUGCGCUCCUUGGUAUUCCGAGGAGCAUGCCUGUUUGAGUGUCAUUAAAUUCUCAACCUCUCUAGUUUUUUUGACUAGUAGAUGGCUUGGAUUUGGGAGUAUUUUUGCAGGCUUUCACAAGUCAGCUCUCCUUAAAUGUAUUAGCCGGUGCCCUCUAACCGUCUAUUGGUGUGAUAAUUAUCUACGCCGUGGACUAUUAGACUUGGUUGCGCUGCUUAUAAUCGUCCUCUGGACAAUAUUAUGACAUUUUGACCUCAAAUCAGGUAGGACUACCCGCUGAACUUAA